rnacentral:misc_RNA from 1 species
GUUUAAUAAGUAAAAAGCAUAUUAAAAAAAAAAAAAAACAUAUUAAAUUAUCAAUUUUCAUAUAUAAAGUAUGCAUUAUAUUCUUUAAAAAGGAAGCUGUCUCCAAUAUUAUGUGGCCCCCCUUUGCUUAUCUUUAAACGCGGAGAGAGGGAAGAAAAUGUCACAAAUGUCAAUUUUCCAAAAAUUGACAAAUGAAGACUCAAAAGACUCAGAUCAUGUUAUAAAGGUCAUCUCUGAGUCAUCCUAAGGACAUUCUUCUAAUUCACAUGCCAGCCAAAACGUCUGUCACAUUCAUGAAAAUUAACCACCAAAGUCUAUCAAGUUAUUAAUUGUUGGGUUUAGCUGCAGGCCAUGAUUGACGACCUCUACAGUUUUCUUAAACUAUUUUUGGAAUCCACUCAUUGUCUUCUUCAAUAUGAAGUUCUUCUCCUCUUUCACAAGACAUGCAGAUCAAAUCUGUGUUGUAUGUAGCAAAAUUAAGGGUUCAAACUCUGACAAUCAACUUCCGUCAAUACAUAACUUUAGAAAGAAAUACUUAAUCAAACGAUGCAUCAACAUAUUGAAAUAUAUGGUCACCUGAGUCACUAUUGGCCACUGCAAAUUGUGGGGAAGCCGGACGAAAUCGUCAAACUUGGUUCCUAUUAAUAUGGGAAUCGCCGUCUAGAAACAUAACAAAACAGAAAGAAAGUUAUAGAUAGAAACAUCAUUUACAUCAAAACACUGUGGUCCUGGUCCAUCCUCUAAUAACUUUAGGGCUCCACUAUUUGAAACAGAGGAAAAAAAAAAAACAAAAGUCUUUCAGCCAUAUCAAUUUACUAUGCAGACCAUCACAUUAAAUAAAAAGUGAAAGAAAACACACACAAAAACUAAUAUAUAACAUCACCAAUUUUAGGGCACCACCUUUCAAUUGGAUUUUUGGUGAUAUCAUUUAGUAACAUAGGCCACUCAUUAAAUUAGCACUAAAUAUCAUGGGCCAAGUAAAUUGAAUAUGACACCUGUGUUGUGUUCUUCUGUUUGAUGGUGCUAGUGUACUACUAAUUUAACAAGAACUCUUAUCCUUUAAAUGCUAAUCAUUGUGAUCUAAUGGCCACAUUUAAAGCCUCACCAGAAAAAUAAAUUAGCUACUCAUUUGACAGAGUAAAUGACAGGGAUUGGUUGCCAUUGAGCUAAUAGUUUAAUGGCAGAGCACCUAAUCUACAGGACAUGAGAUCAAGAGUUCAAAUUUUGAGAGUUUAGGUACCUGAUUCCAUUUUCUGGCUUGACUAUACCAUUCAGUAACACUGCAAAUCAAGCCACAGAAAUCAUGUCUUGAAGUUUAGUAAAGUAUAUGAUAUUAUCCACUAAAAACAGUCAAUUGAACUAUUAAUUACAAUUACCUGUUAAGAGUACACCGACUAGUAAGAUCAAACAUGAACAAAAUUGCUACUGCAUCUUUACAGGCAAUAGGAACAUGAUCAAGUGAGUUACUGUCACCCCCUACAUCCCAUAUGCUAAAUGUAAUCCUGGCACCUUGAACCAGUAAUGUUUUAUCCAUUAAAUUCAAUCCUGUCAUCUGCAAGCAUUUCUUUUCCUGCUCAUCUCCCACAUACUUGAUCACAAAGCUUGUUUUUCCAAUUUGGCAAUCACCCAACAAACUGAUCUUCAAAGUGACUAAAUCCGAAUCCGUGCUAUACCCACAAAACGUGGUGGUGGGUUCCUCCGAUGACUCCAACCCACCGUCUUCAAUUAACUCCGGCGUUGGAGAAGAAGGCCGGCGAGUGAGCCGGCGAUACCUAACAGGCUUCCCUAUAGAGCAAGCGAGAAUCCUAUCCCAAAUGAACUGAAAAAACUGUCUAAAAACCGAUACACGUUCGAGUAUACUCCACUUGAUAUUUACAUGAACAUUAAUCUUCCGACAAAGCUGUGUCAUCUUUUCACGAACGAUCUUGGCCAUGAAAAAGGAACAAAGAGUUUGCUUGAAGCUUUGUCAUGGUCUGUUGCUGUUGUUCUUGUCUGUCUCUUAUCGAUGAGGCCUGGUUUUUUUUUCUAUGUAACUAUCCCAAGCUCUAGAGAAUUAUAGGAGGGGCGGUUGACCGGUAUUUUGUGGAUGCCAAUACAGUCCAAAUUGCCGGCUUCUCGGUUCUCUAAUGCACUAUGGGCAUCAUGGUCAAUCUUGGG